GCUUGUCUCAAAGAUUAAGCCAUGCAUGUCUAAGUAUAAAUGGUAUACAGUGAAACUGCGAAUGGCUCAUUAAAACAGUUAUAGUUUAUUUGGUAAUCGAAUUUACAUGGAUAACCGUGGUAAUUCUAGAGCUAAUACAUGCGUAAAAACCCGACUUCGGAAGGGUUGUAUUUAUUAGAUACAAAACCAACGCAGGGCUUGCCCUGGUUUUUGGUGAUUCAUAAUAACUUUUCGGAUCGCAUGGCGCAAGCCGGCGACGUUUCAUUCAAAUUUCUGCCCUAUCAACUUUCGAUGGUAAGGUAUUGGCUUACCAUGGUUACAACGGGUAACGGAGAAUUAGGGUUCGAUUCCGGAGAGGGAGCCUGAGAAACGGCUACCACUUCCAAGGAAGGCAGCAGG
rnacentral:rRNA from 1 species